AGGCCUAACACAUGCAAGUCGAGGGGCAGCACAUGAAGUAGCAAUACAGAUGGUGGCGACCGGCGCACGGGUGAGUAACACGUAUGCAACCUACCUUCCACAGGAGAAUAACCCGUUGAAAAACGGACUAAUACUCCAUAAUACAGGGGUCCCGCAUGGGAAUAUUUGUUAAAGAUUUUUUUCGGUAGAAGAUGGGCAUGCGUUCCAUUAGCUAGUUGGUUGAGGUAACGGCUCACCAAGGCAACGAUGGAUAGGGGAACUGAGAGGUUUAUCCCCCACACUGGUACUGAGACACGGACCAGACUCCUACGGGAGGCAGCAGUGAGGAAUAUUGGUCAAUGGAGGCAACUCUGAACCAGCCACGUCGCGUGAAGGAUGACGGCCCUACGGGUUGUAAACUUCUUUUAUACAGGAAUAAAGUGAGUCACGUGUGACUUUUUGCAUGUACUGUAUGAAUAAGGAUCGGCUAACUCCGUGCCAGCAGCCGCGGUAAUACGGAGGAUCCAAGCGUUAUCCGGAUUUAUUGGGUUUAAAGGGUGCGCAGGCGGAAGAUUAAGUCGGCGGUGAAGUUUUGCAGCUCAACUGUAAAAGUGCCAUCGAUACUGGUUUUCUUGAGUGUGGAUGAAGUAGGCGGAUUUGUGGUGUAGCGGUGAAAUGCAUAGAUAUCACGAGGAACUCCGAUUGCGCAGCAGCUUACUAGGCCAUACUGACGCUCAGGCACGAAGGCGUGGGAUCAA
rnacentral:rRNA from 1 species